rnacentral:rRNA from 1 species
AACGAACGCUGGCGGCAUGCCUAACACAUGCAAGUCGAACGAGACCUUCGGGUCUAGUGGCGCACGGGUGCGUAACGCGUGGGAACCUGCCCUUAGGUUCGGAAUAACUCCCCGAAAGGGGUGCUAAUACCGGAUAAUGUCUUCGGACCAAAGAUUUAUCGCCUUUGGAUGGGCCCGCGUUGGAUUAGCUAGUUGGUAGGGUAAAAGCCUACCAAGGCGACGAUCCAUAGCUGGUCUGAGAGGAUGAUCAGCCACACUGGGACUGAGACACGGCCCAGACCCCAAGGGGAGGAAGCAGUGGGGAAUUUUGGACAAGGGGCGAAAGCCUGAUCCAGCAAUGCCGGGGGAGGGAUGAAGGCCUUAGGGUUGUAAAGCUCUUUUACCCGGGAUGAUAAUGACAGUACCGGGAGAAUAAGCCCCGGCUAACUCCGU